rnacentral:rRNA from 1 species
AUUGAACGCUGGCGGCAUGCCUUACACAUGCAAGUCGAACGGUAACAGGUCUUCGGAUGCUGACGAGUGGCGAACGGGUGAGUAAUACAUCGGAACGUGCCUAGUAGUGGGGGAUAACUACUCGAAAGAGUGGCUAAUACCGCAUGAGAUCUACGGAUGAAAGCAGGGGAUCGCAAGACCUUGUGCUACUAGAGCGGCCGAUGGCAGAUUAGGUAGUGGGUGGGAUAAAAGCUUACCAAGCCGACGAUCUGUAGCUGGUCUGAGAGGACGAUCAGCCACACUGGGACUGAGACACGGCCCAGACUCCUACGGGAGGCAGAAGUGGGGAAUUUUGGACAAUGGGCGAAAGCCUGAUCCAGCAAUGCCGCGUGCAGGAUGAAGGCCUUCGGGUUGUAGACUGCUUUUGUACGGAACGAAAAGCCCCGGGUUAAUACCCUGGGGUCAUGACGGUACCGUAAGAAUAAGCACCGGCUAACUACGUGCCAGCAGCCGCCGGUAA